rnacentral:rRNA from 1 species
AUGUAUAAGUUUAAUCGUUUUAACGAGAAACCGCGAACGGCUCAUUACAAUGGCCAUGAUUUACUUGAUCUUGAUUAUCUAAAUGGAUAACUGUGGAAAAGCUAGAGCUAAUACAUGCACYAAAGCUUUGUCCUYWCGGAAAAGCGCAUUUAUUAGAACAAAACCACGCGGCUUCGGCUGCUUCUUGUUGACUCAGAAUAACUUAGCUGACCGCAUGGCCUUGUGCCGGCGGCGUGUCUUUCAAGCGUCCACUUUAUCAACUUGACGGGAGCAUAAUCGACUCCCGUGGUGGUGACGGAUAACGGAGGAUCAGGGUUCGACUCCGGAGAAGGGGCCUGAGAAAUGGCCACUACGUCUAAGGAUGGCAGCAGGCGCGCAAAUUACCCACUCUCGGCUCGAGGAGGUAGUGACGAGAAAUAACGAGACYGUUCUCUUUGAGGCCGGUCAUCGGAAUGGGUACAAUUUAAACCCUUUAACGAGUAUCAAGCAGAGGGCAAGUCUGGUGCCAGCAGCCGCGGUAAUUCCAGCUCUGCAAAUACAUAGAAUUAUUGCUGCGGUUAGAAAGCUCAUAGUUGGAUUCGUAUCGAUACCUUGGAACCCUUCGGGUGUCUCUAGGUGUUAUCGAUUUAUCGUAAUGUUCGGUUUUGAGUCCUUAACAGGAUUCUUAACAGGCAUUGCAAGUUUACUUUGAACAAAUCAGAGUGCUUCAAACAGGCGUUUUCGCUUGAAUGAUCGUGCAUGGAAUAAUAGAAAAUGAUUUCGGUUCAGUUUUAUUGGUUUUACGGACUGAGAUAAUGGUUAACAGAGACAAACGGGGGCAUUUGUAUGGUCCCGUGAGAGGUGAAAUUCUUGGACCGUGGCCAGACAAACUACAGCGAAAGCAUUUGCCAAGAAUGUUUUUAUUAAUCAAGAACGAAAGUCAGAGGUUCGAAGGCGAUCAGAUACCGCCCUAGUUCUGACCGUAAACGAUGCCAACUAGCGAUCCGCCGAUGGAAAUUAUAUUGCCUUGGUGGGGAGCUUCCCGGAAACGAAAGUCUUCCGGUUCCGGGGGAAGUAUGGUUGCAAAGCUGAAACUUAAAGGAAUUGACGGAAGGGCACCACCAGGAGUGGAGCCUGCGGCUUAAUUUGACUCAACACGGGGAAACUCACCCGGCCCGGACACUGUGAGGAUUGACAGAUUGAUAGCUUUUUCAUGAUUCAGUGGAUGGUGGUGCAUGGCCGUUCUUAGUUCGUGGAGUGAUUUGUCUGGUUUAUUCCGAUAACGAGCGAGACUCUAACCUACUAAAUAGUUGGUACAUACUCUUAGUGUAUACAGCUUCUUAGAGGGAUUUGCGGCGUUCAGCCGAAAGAAAUUGAGCAAUAACAGGUCUGUGAUGCCCUUAGAUGUCCGGGGCUGCACGCGCGCUACACUGGCAAAAUCAACGUGCUUGUCCUACCCUGAAAGGGGCGGGUAAACCAUUGAAAAUUUGCCGUGAUUGGGAUCGGAAAUUGCAAUUAUUUUCCGUGAACGAGGAAUUCCAAGUAAGUGCGAGUCAUCAGCUCGCGUUGAUUACGUCCCUGCCCUUUGUACACACCGCCCGUCGCUGCCCGGGACUGAGCCAUUUCGAGAAAUUUGGGGACCGUUGAUUUAAUUUUUCUAAAUUACUUUGAUGGAAACCAAUUUAA